GCAGGCCUAACACAUGCAAGUCGAGCGGAUGACGGGAGCUUGCUCCCGAAUUCAGCGGCGGACGGGUGAGUAAUGCCUAGGAAUCUGCCUGGUAGUGGGGGACAACGUCUCGAAAGGGACGCUAAUACCGCAUACGUCCUACGGGAGAAAGCAGGGGACCUUCGGGCCUUGCGCUAUCAGAUGAGCCUAGGUCGGAUUAGCUAGUUGGUGAGGUAAUGGCUCACCAAGGCGACGAUCCGUAACUGGUCUGAGAGGAUGAUCAGUCACACUGGAACUGAGACACGGUCCAGACUCCUACGGGAGGCAGCAGUGGGGAAUAUUGGACAAUGGGCGAAAGCCUGAUCCAGCCAUGCCGCGUGUGUGAAGAAGGUCUUCGGAUUGUAAAGCACUUUAAGUUGGGAGGAAGGGCAUUAACCUAAUACGUUAGUGUUUUGACGUUACCGACAGAAUAAGCACCGGCUAACUCUGUGCCAGCAGCCGCGGUAAUACAGAGGGUGCAAGCGUUAAUCGGAAUUACUGGGCGUAAAGCGCGCGUAGGUGGUUUGUUAAGUUGGAUGUGAAAGCCCCGGGCUCAACCUGGGAACUGCAUUCAAAACUGACAAGCUAGAGUAUGGUAGAGGGUGGUGGAAUUUCCUGUGUAGCGGUGAAAUGCGUAGAUAUAGGAAGGAACACCAGUGGCGAAGGCGACCACCUGGACUG
rnacentral:rRNA from 1 species